ACCCUUUGAUGAACACAGGGUCAGUGGCCCUUGCGCAGGAGACCUGGGCUGUGCUGUGGUUGCAGGUGACCUGUCCUCCUCAGGGUCAGCCGGCCUCGAAGGGGAAGAGGAGGACUGGGGCAGAGACUACAGACCUCAUCUGCAGCUCAGGGCAUUCAGGGAUCCUGCAGCUCCUUGUGCUGCUGGCACAGGCACUCCAUAAACAACAGAUGCCCUGCCCACUCUUGCUGUUCAGUGAGGCAGAGAUUAAGAAAUAGAGGAGACUUCCUAGAGGACGCUUUUCAUGAAGACGGCCAAGAUCCACCUCAUGAAGCGGUAAGAUCCCCACAGUUUGUGUGCUUGGCCUUACACCAUGCUGCCGCCCUGCAUGUCUCUGAGCUGGGCAGCCCAGUAAGCCCCUUACGGAGAUUUCUAUGGCUUCCUAAAGUUGUGAAGCAGGCUGGAGAAAAGAAUGGAUACUGGGCUUCUACUCAUUAAUCACUAUAGAUGUUUUUAGAUUUUCAUUUUGUUUUGUUUUCUGCUUAUAG
rnacentral:lncRNA from 1 species